GACGAACGCUGGCGGCGUGCUUAACACAUGCAAGUCGAACGGAAACGCCCUGCCUAUGCGGGGUGCUCGAGUGGCGAACGGGUGAGUAUCAUGUGAGUAACCUGCCCUUGAGUUUGGGAUAACUUCAGGAAAAUGGGGCUACUACCGGAUAGGAGCUCCUGCUGCAUGGUGGGGGUUGGAAAGUUUCGGCGGUUGGGGCUGGACUCGCGGCUUAUGAGCUUGUUGGUGGGGUAGUGGCUUACCAAGGGUUCGACGGGUAGCCGGCCUGAGAGGGUGACCAGCCACAAUGGUACUGAGGUACGGCCCAGACUGCUACAGUGGACAGCAGUGGGGAAUAUGACACAGUGGGCGGAAGCCUGAUGCAGCGACGCCGCGUGCGGGAUGACGUCCUUCGGGUUGUGAACCGCUUUCGCCUGAGACGAAGGGUGAAUGACGGUAAUGGGUAAAGAAGCACCGGCUAACUUCGUG
rnacentral:rRNA from 1 species